AGAGUGAACGCUGGCGGCAGGCCUAACACAUGCAAGUCGAACGGCAGCACAGAGGAGCUUGCUCCUUGGGUGGCGAGUGGCGGACGGGUGAGGAAUACAUCGGAAUCUGCCUUAUCGUGGGGGAUAACGUAGGGAAACUUACGCUAAUACCGCAUACGACCUACGGGUGAAAGCGGAGGACCUUCGGGCUUCGCGCGAUAAGAUGAGCCGAUGUCGGAUUAGCUAGUUGGUGGGUAAAGGCCCACCAAGGCUACGAUCCGUAGCUGGUCUGAGAGGAUGAUCAGCCACACUGGAACUGAGACACGGUCAGACUCCUACGGGAGCAGCAGGUGGGAAUAGUUGGACAAGUGGGCGACAAGCCUGAUCCAGUCCAUGGCCGCGUGUGUAGAAGAACGGUCCGUUGGGUAGUAAAGUCUACGUUUCGGAACCGAAAGAAACG
rnacentral:rRNA from 1 species